GCUGAGCAGCCGCAGAAAGUGCCCAUCGAGACCAAGAGUCGCGGCGACAAGGGAUUUUGGGAAGGAUGUUGUGCUGCUUUGUGCUGCUGCUGCGUCCUGGAAACUUGCUUCUGAAGAGGACUGACGGUAGAGAGAGAGAUCUGUGUUUGUGCUAGAGAUCGAGCUGUCGGGUCAUUUAUUUCCUAUUGUGUAAUUAGGAUUAAUUAAGAAGGCUUUUAACUGUCUCAUUGUUUGAUUAUAUUUCGAAUUAGCUUUAUUCGUGUGUAAAGUACUGAAUCCUUUGUGUUCCCUUGUGCUAAUUGUUGGAUUGCUUCUUUAUAUAACUUUGGAUCUUGAUUGUAAUCCUUUUCUAAUAUAUAUAUAUAUAAUUAACACCA